rnacentral:piRNA from 1 species
UGUUCCUCCUGUGAUUCUGUUCCUCCU